GAUAUGACUGUCUUGAGCACAUACGUGCUUGCUUGCUGUGGACUUGGGAGAGAGCUGGCUUCUCUUGGGCAUGCUUCAUAUUCUGCUUUGAUGGCCCUUCCUCUCAAAAGCUUGUCCCGUUGUGACUUUCUCCAUGAGCUUAGCAGCAUCUCUGGAGGGCUCCUCAGCACUGCCUCUUGUUGCAUCAAGAGCAAAAUUUGGGAACAAAUGGAAAAGUCUGUGGAUCCAUAGUUUCUGCUAUAACAAACAAAGCUUUUAUGUUUAUAUUGCACUUCCACGUCAGAAGAACCUGUGGAAGAAUCCAGGAAAAUGCCUAGUGUCAAUGUGAGGAAAGUACAUGGAUGGCAGCAGACUACCAGGACAUGAAAAGAAUAGCUCCUUCCUGACUUACUCUCUCUUGGAUCAAUUACUGUGAUGGAAACCAGCUGCCAUGUCAGGAGUACACUCAGCUGGCCUAAUGGGAGGCCCACACAGAGAGGCACUGAGGUCGCCAAUCAAUAACCAACACCAAUACAGCGCAGGUGAGUGGGUACUUUUGGAAUUGGAUCCUCCAGCACUCAUGAAGCCUUCAAAUGACCGUAAGUUUAUGAGAAACCCUCAUUUAAACCUAAUACCCAAUGUUAUAGCAUUAAGAGGUAGAACCUUUUGGAAAGUGAUUAGGUUAUGAGUGCUUUGCCCUCAUGAAUGGGAUCAGUGCCCUUAUGAAAAACAUUGACCCACUCCCCAAAUUCUAGGUUC
rnacentral:lncRNA from 10 species